GAUGAACGCUGGCGGCGUGCCUAAUACAUGCAAGUCGAGCGAACAGACGAGGAGCUUGCUCCUCUGACGUUAGCGGCGGACGGGUGAGUAACACGUGGAUAACCUACCUAUAAGACUGGGAUAACUUCGGGAAACCGGAGCUAAUACCGGAUAAUAUAUUGAACCGCAUGGUUCAAUAGUGAAAGACGGUUUUGCUGUCACUUAUAGAUGGAUCCGCGCCGCAUUAGCUAGUUGGUAAGGUAACGGCUUACCAAGGCAACGAUGCGUAGCCGACCUGAGAGGGUGAUCGGCCACACUGGACCUGAGACACGGUCCAGACUCCCACGGGAGGCAGCAGUAGGGAAUCUUCCGCAAUGGGCGAAAGCCUGACGGAGCAACGCCGCGUGAGUGAUGAAGGUCUUCGGAUCGUAAAACUCUGUUAUUAGGGAAGAACAAAUGUGUAAGUAACUAUGCACGUCUUGACGGUACCUAAUCAGAAAGCCACGGCUAACUACGUG
rnacentral:rRNA from 1 species